AGCGAACGCUGGCGGCAGGCCUAACACAUGCAAGUCGAGCGCCCAGCAAUGGGAGCGGCAGACGGGAUAGUAACACGUGGGAACGUACCCUUCAGUUCGGAACAACCAAGGGAAACUUUGGCUAAUACCGAAUACGUCCGUAAGGAGAAAGAUUUAUCGCUGAAGGAUCGGCCCGCGUCUGAUUAGCUAGUUGGUGAGGUAAUGGCUCACCAAGGCGACGAUCAGUAGCGGUCUGAGAGGAUGAUCAGCAUCACUGGGACUGAGACACGGCCCAGACUCCUACGGGAGGCAGCAGUGGGGAAUAUUGGACAAUGGGCGCAAGCCUGAUCCAGCCAUGCCGCGUGGAUGAUGAAGGCCUUUAGGGUUGUAAAGUCCUUUCGACGGGGAAGAUAAUGACGGUACCCCGUAGAAGAAGCCCCCGGGCUAACUUCGUGCCAGCCGCCGCCGUAAG
rnacentral:rRNA from 1 species